CCUACGGGAGGCUGCAGUGAGGAAUAUUGGUCAAUGGGCGCGAGCCUGAACCAGCCAAGUAGCGUGAAGGAUGACUGCCCUACGGGUUGUAAACUUCUUUUAUAAAGGAAUAAAGUGAGGCACGUGUGCCUUUUUGUAUGUACUUUAUGAAUAAGGAUCGGCUAACUCCGUGCCAGCAGCCGCGGUAAUACGGAGGAUCCGAUCGUUAUCCGGAUUUAUUGGGUUUAAAGGGAGCGUAGAGGGGUUUGAAAGUCAGUUGUGAAAGUUUGCGGCUCAAACGUAAAAUUGCAAUGGAUACUGGCAGCCUUGAGUACAGUUGAGGUAGGCGGAAUUCGUGGUGUAGCGGGGAAAUGCUUAGAUAUCACGAAGAACUCCGAUUGCGAAGGCAGCCUAAUAAACUGCCACUGACAUUGAUGCUCGAAAGUGUGGGUAUCAAACAGGAUUAGAUACCCGUGUAGUC
rnacentral:rRNA from 1 species